GCCCGGUUAGCUCAGUUGGUAGAGCAUCAGACUUUUAAUCUGAGGGCCAUGGGUUCGAGUCUCAUAUCGGAAA
rnacentral:tRNA from 1 species